AUGGGGCAGGAAGAGGACGCCCUGACCGUGGCCUUCUCGUGGGAGCAGGAGCUGGGCAUGCCAGAGAGCCCGAGGAAGCCGCCGGUGAUCUUGUCGUGGGAGCUCGAGCCGGCCGUGAAGAAGCCGGUCUCGACGGUUGAAGGACGUGGUGGUGGCAUGCGGGAGGGCCAGAGGAAGGUGCCGGCGCUGGCGAGGCGGCUGUCCGUGCCGCCGCCCCCGGGCAGGCCGGCGGCGAGGGGCUACUCGAGGGCCGUCCGGCCUGAGGACGACCCGUUCCUGGCGGCGUACCUGGCCUGCACCAAGAGCGGCGGCGACGGCGACGGCAGGAAGAUGAAGACCGCACCAACAAGGGAGGCCAAGGGCCAGAGGCGGUGGAGCGGGCUCGGGCGUGGGCUCGGCGCGCUGUCGUGCAAGAGGUCCAACGGCGUGGUGGAGCAGAGCAUGGUGAGGAUGGCCAAGCUGCCCGGGCUGGAUCCCAGGGAUGCUUAA
rnacentral:rRNA from 1 species